UCUCAUGAACCAAAUACAGUGUUCUUGCACACGUUCUGAUCUCUGCUGCACCAAUAUGUGAUUUCAUAAUGGAAGGCAUUCUCCAUUCUGUACUGAGAAGCCUAUGGCCAUGUAACUUCCUGGAGACUAUCAUCUGUCCAGUGCAUCCACUCCAACCACAAUGGGGUCCCUAGGAUUUGGAGCCACUGGUGACUUUACCGAGAGCCAAAAUGGAGAGUUCUGCAGAAAACAUGCGCGGUGAGAAAGUGAAGACAAUGCCUACAGAUGACUCUUCAGUCGGGACCUAUAUUCUUGGAGCAAUCCAAAACGGAAGCGUGCUCAACACAGUGUGCUUUCAUAAUGAAAGCACUUACAGAACCUCAGGGCACCCUAUUUCUCAUUAAUUACUGUGUCCAAGAAAAUGAGCAAAAGGACAACGCUAACAAGAUGGCGUGGAGAGAUUCUUUUUCCAGUUCUUGAGGGUCAACCGGGAAACUGGAAAACAUGAUUUUACGGACGAGAGGCAUCAUGGCUUUAAAACGAAUAAGCAGACAGGCACAUUUCAUCCACCACCCACCCCAUCUGCCUCGUCAACCAGGUCCCCACAAUGUGUAAAGUGACAAACUGAAACGGGGGAGGAAGGGAACAGAACAGGGUCAGUCAGAGAAAUGUAAUCCAAAGUAAAAAUCAUUUCUGUUUGGAGCUCACAAAAGAUCUGGGUUACCGUCGGCUGCAAACUGCUGCUCUCCUGGCUGCAGGUCUGGCCGGAAGUCGUUCUCCUCAUCAGAGUCAUCUGGAUGAUGGUGGUUGUUAUCGUGGAUGUUGGCAUUAUUCUGGGCAUUAUUGUCAUUGUCAUUGUUGGAGUUCUGGUUGCUAACAAGGGCCGAGGAAACCCCGAUUCCUGUGCCUGCACUUAGACCAACUCGAGCACAGCCCUAAGGCAAGACGAAACCACAAUGCGUGUUCAUUGUAGUACAGAACACUUCAUUUUUAACAUUCCUUCAUCUUUAUGUAAGAAUAUCUACAUAGCACGACUUUCACAUAUGCAUAAAGGACCUUAUUAAAGGCAAGCAAGACAAAGUGUUAUCAGUCUGGAUUUAUAGGUGAUGAAAUGCACAGUGGAAAGAGGUCUGUGCUAUAGCUGCGACCUGAAACCCCACAUUCUAACCUCAAAUCCUGAGCCUCCACCCACUAUAUUGUACUGCUUCCAACAGUGGGAAUGUGACCAUUAAGAACUGAGGAGAGGGGCUCCUGGGUGGCUCAGUUGGUUAAGCGUCAGACUUCAGCUUAGGUCAUGAUCUCACGGUUUGUGGGUUCGAGCCCCGUGUCGGGCUCUGUGCUGACAGCUCAGAGCCUGGAGCCUGCUUCGGAUUCUGGGUCUCCCUCUCUCUCUGCUCCUCCCCAGUUUGCACUCUGUCUCUCUCAAAUAAAUAAACAUUAAAAAAAAAAAUUAAGAACUGAGAAGAGGAAAAAAAAACUGAGGAGAGAGAAGAUAAUUA